AAUAAAAUGGCUGAGGAAUAAGCGAUAAAUUGUAAAUUUAUUUACGAGAGUUUUCUCUUUUAUUA
rnacentral:tRNA from 1 species